rnacentral:rRNA from 1 species
UAGGGAAUCUUCCACAAUGGACGCAAGUCUGAUGGAGCAACGCCGCGUGAGUGAAGAAGGGUUUCGGCUCGUAAAGCUCUGUUGUUAAAGAAGAACAUAUCUGAGAGUAACUGUUCAGGUAUUGACGGUAUUUAACCAGAAAGCCACGGCUAACUACGUGACAG